rnacentral:tRNA from 1 species
GAGGACUGAAAAUCCUCGUGUCACCAGUUCAAAUCUGGUUCCUGGCA